AGACAAUAAUUCAUAAAC
rnacentral:sRNA from 1 species